AUUGAACGCUGGCGGCAGGCUUAACACAUGCAAGUCGAGCGGGGGAAGGUAGCUUGCUACCGGACCUAGCGGCGGACGGGUGAGUAAUGCUUAGGAAUCUGCCUAUUAGUGGGGGACAACAUCUCGAAAGGGAUGCUAAUACCGCAUACGUCCUACGGGAGAAAGCAGGGGAUCUUCGGACCUUGCGCUAAUAGAUGAGCCUAAGUCGGAUUAGCUAGUUGGUGGGGUAAAGGCCUACCAAGGCGACGAUCUGUAGCGGGUCUGAGAGGAUGAUCCGCCACACUGGGACUGAGACACGGCCCAGACUCCUACGGGAGGCAGCAGUGGGGAAUAUUGGACAAUGGGGGGAACCCUGAUCCAGCCAUGCCGCGUGUGUGAAGAAGGCCUUAUGGUUGUAAAUCACUUUAAGCGAGGAGGAGGCUACUCUAGUUAAUACCUAGGGAUAGUGGACGUUACUCGCAGAAUAAACACCGGCUAACUCUGUGCCAGCAGCCGCCGUAA
rnacentral:rRNA from 1 species